GAAUUAGUUCAGUUGGUUAGAGCGCCAGUUUGUGGCACUGGAGGUCGUGGGUUCGAAUCCCACAUUC
rnacentral:tRNA from 1 species